rnacentral:rRNA from 1 species
UGGGGAAUAUUGGACAAUGGGCGAAAGCCUGAUCCAGCCAUGCCGCGUGUGUGAAGAAGGUCUUCGGAUUGUAAAGCACUUUAAGUUGGGAGGAAGGGCAUUAACCUAAUACGUUAGUGUUUUGACGUUACCGACAGAAUAAGCACCGGCUAACUCUGUGCCAGCAGCCGCGGUAAUACAGAGGGUGCAAGCGUUAAUCGGAAUUACUGGGCGUAAAGCGCGCGUAGGUGGUUUGUUAAGUUGGAUGUGAAAUGCCCGGGCUCAACCUGGGAACUGCAUUCAAAACUGACUGACUAGAGUAGGGUAGAGGGUGGUGGAAUUUCCUGUGUAGCGGUGAAAUGCGUAGAUAUAGGAAGGAACACCAGUGGCGAAGGCGACCACCUGGACUAAUACUGACACUGAGGUGCGAAAGCGUGGGGAGCAAACA